rnacentral:rRNA from 1 species
UGAAAGCAUCUAAGCGUGAAGCCCCCCUCAAGAUGAGAUUUCCCAGUAUGUAAGACCCCUUGAAGACGACGAGGUAGAUAGGUUGGAGGUGGAAGCACGGUAACGUGUGGAGCUGACCAAUACUAAUCGGUCGAGGGCUUAUCCAAA